UCCGGCAGCUCAGCUCCCGGAGUUCAAUCCCUUUCUCCUCCAUGUCUCCAUGUCUCCUUGUCUUCUCCCGCGGAGCAAAGAGAUUGUACUCCCGGAGCUGAGCUGCCGGGCUGCCUCUGAACUCCCCCCACCGGAGCUGCUCGUCUGCUAGUCCACAAAAUCUUAGCUAUGCUCUUAUUGGAUGGUAGUGGGGAAGUGGGAAGUAAUAUUCAAAUGGAGGGGAGGGGGCGCCGAAACUGACUCGCUCGUUUGGUAACUGUAGGCGGGGUACUUUCAGAAAUGCAUAUCUCACUCAAAAAAUGUAUGCGUGUGGGAGCACCAGAGACCCAAAACAACACCCCAAAUCCCAGGAAAAGUGUUGUUUUCAUAAUAUGUCCCCUUUAAGAAAUAUAUUGCAUUUUGUUCGGACGUCUAAAUCAGGUAUGACGUGUCAUCAUGUGUUUCAUGGCUGUUUUUUUUUUUGCAUCUUUCUGUGGAUGAAUUGAUACGAAUGCCCCUAUAACUACGACAACCUUUAGAAAGGUGAAAGAUGAAAUUCGUGGCUUUUUUCGUGCCUGGCGACACGUGUGGAAUGCUAAAUGAAAAUCAAAACUUAAAAUGUCUCACUGCUGCUGUUGUUUUCCAUUAGUUUAUUUUGCUUCCUGAAAAAAAUACAAAGUAUAAGCAAUACAGGAGUACAAGAUAUCAAUAUUUGCGUAAUUUCUUUCCAUCGUCAUUGUAAAAAUCGGACUUUUAUAUUUUAGAUUCAUGUUUUUCUCUCUUUUUAUUAAUGUAAUUUCUGGAAAGCAAUGCUGACUUAAAUAUAUUGGACAGAUACUAACAUGAGCUAUGUGUGGAACAUUUAAACAACUAACUCUGUUAACUUAUAUAUUUAAAUGAAAGCCAUCAAUGUAAUUGCACUGUGAUUUUGACUAUACGACAACAAAUAUUAUACAGUGGUAGUAAAGUUUGCAAUGAUCAAUCUUGUGUACUUUUUUUUUAAACUGUGACCCAUUCUAUGAAUAAAAAUGGCCAACAGUAAUGGGCAAGAAAUCACACUCUAAUCCUUCUAUUCUAUAGCGGGGCUAUUUGGUUAUCUGAAUGACCGCUCACACGUG
ensembl:lncRNA